UAACAAUAACAAGGCCAAAGACCAGAUGGUGGAAGUGCUCAACCAUUUCAACGUGCAGGUCAGACAGUCGGACAUCUUCAGCAGAUGCCAGAUCUGCAAUGGAAAUGUGUAUGUUACCAUUCCAUCUGAGGAUAUGAAACUGCUGUCUCAAAGGAAGCUGCAAGAUCAUCACCCACUCGGAGGCAUUGCACAGUUCAUCUGAACUAGGGCUGAAUGGUGGCCCAGAAAGCUCCUAAACAUAUGGAGUGGGUAGCCAGUCUAAUGAUUGCUCUGAGGAGAUGGUGUCCAUGUUCAUUGAGUACAACAUAGACUGGUGCACUGCCACCAUCCUGUCAAACUCUGCCUCAGUUCAAACAGAAACUGUGCCUACCAGUAUGUUUGACAAAGUGGAAAAGUUUUUCUGUUGUCAGCAGUGUGGAAAGGUGUUCUGGAAAGGAUCCCACUUUGAACGAGUUUGUGAACAGUUUUCACAUGUUCUUAAGACGGAAAAAGAUGAUACGACAAUUUAUGAUAAAUUGAAUGCAAACGUGGGAGUUAAUUCUUUGUAUAAACACUUUGUGUUCCAAAGCCAGUUGAAUUGAAGACACUAAUUAGUACAAAUGUCUAGUUUUUUAAUGAGUGCUACUUGUAAAUAUCACAUUACUUAACAUCUUGUAAUUACACAAGUAAUGGACUUGCUUAAUGAAAUUCAGGGAAUUUAUGUAUGCAUCAAAUAUUUGUGCAAGUUUACAACAGCUAUUUUCUUCAUAAAACGUGUACAUUAUUCAUGAAUCGAUGUAAAUUUUAAAAUUGUUAUGUCUUGUUUUCAUGGUGUUUGAUUGACCACACCAAUACAAGCUAUACUGGUUGUCAAGUUCAAAAUGUGUAACAUACGUGUAUUAUUUUGAAAUCUAUGAUAUUUGUCUGUGUUUUUUGUUUUUAAAGAUCAAUAGUGCUCUCAUCAUUUCACGCCUUCAAUAAUGUUUUAUUUUCUCUGUGGUUUUAGUUGCAUAAACGAGGUUUCUUAACGGAAUAAGUUUUAAGUUUGAUUCUUAAGGUCAUAUAAUUUUAUAAAUAAAAUGUACAAUGA